ACACAAUUCCCAUUCAGUAAUCGGUGGCCGUCCCCGCACCGUGUCUCACUGCGGUCGUCUAUUGGACUUAGAAAAAUAGAUCCACUCGCUUCAGACACCCUCAGGAUCUCCAAACUGAAGACACGAGUGACAUGACCGAAACAGGGUCCUCUCGAUCAGAUUUCCCAGAUACUAAGGACCUCGGUCUCCUCACCACCACGAUUCCUGCACACUGAUGCAUUCCUUUAAAAGGAAAGCAGCUGGAACAUUAAUGGCAAUUCCAUUUUCCCAUUCAUCGCCCCCGCCCCCACCACCCCACCAAGAAACUCAGUGGAAAUGAAUGGUCUACACAGAGAAACUGAAAUCUGGUUAGUCAAGAAGGAAAAAACAGCCAAGUGCCUAGCACAGAAUCUCGCUGUGUUGCCUAGGCUGGAGUGCAGUGGCUCGAUCUCAGCUCACUGAAGCCUCCACCUCCCGGGUUCAAGCAAUUCUCCUGCCUCAGCCUCCCAAGUAGCUGGGACUACAGGAAGACUCCAAAAUUUUAUAAGCAUCAAGCCUCACAAAACUUGGAUCUGCCCUCGGGAAGACCCAUGCCCAAGCUCCGAUCUCCAGACUUGAUGAUUUAAUUGAUCUAGGGCAGUGGAUCUCAGCUAGGGUCAACCCACCUGAGAUCCAUUCAGGGGAUGAAUCUCCCAGUUACCUGCCCCCCCUCCACCCAACCAAGGGAUGAAGAUUUAACAAUGUCUGGAAACAUUUUUAGUUAUCACAACUUGAGGGUGAGGGCUUGUUAUUGACAUCUAAUGGGUAAAGACCAGGAAUGCUGCUAAACAUCUCACAAUGCACAGGAAAGUCCCCCACAACAAAGAAUUCCCUGGCUCAAAAUGUCAAUGGUAGCACAACUGAGAAGCCCUGAACUAGCAUGGGGUUCUGAGCCUCAGCAUGUUUCGAAAUCUUUCAAAUCAAUUAAUUUGAACAUA